rnacentral:lncRNA from 1 species
UACUUGUUUCAUGGGGUCUUAGUCCUUCUUAGUCCUUGAGAUGGGCAACAUUUUGUGCUAUUGGUUUGCUUUUUUGUUGUUGUUUUGUUUUUAAUUUUUAUUUUUGUGGGUACAUAGUCGGUGUACAUAUUUAUGGUGUACAUGAGGUAUUUUGAUAAGGCAUAAUAAUCACACCAGGGCACAUGGCGUAUCCAUCACCUCAAGUGGUGUUGAUUUUCUUCCAAUGUUGUGUGUUUGGGGUUGUCUACUCGUAUUUGUAUCUGACAAUUUCUUUACAUCUUUCUAUUACGUUUACUUGAGUCUAAACUGGUAACUGAAAGAUGAGACUCGGGUCCUGUGCCAGAGAGAUCCUGCCCUUUCUGUGACCAGCAAUUACCUGGGGAAUCCUCUUGGUCUCUGCUCCAGUUCUGGGUGUGUGUUAUAACCAGAGGGUGACUCCAGCUCCGCGUGUGUGUUAUAACCAGAGGGUGACUCCAGCUCUGCGUGUGUGUUAUAACCAGAGGGUGACUCCAGCUCUGCGUGUGUGUUACAUCCAGAGGGUGACUCCAGCUCCGCGCAUGUGUUAUAACCAGAAGGUGACUCCAGUUCUGCGUGUGUGUUAUAACCAGAGGGUGACUCCAGUUCGCGUGUGUGUUACAACCAGAGGUGACUCAUCUCAGCGUGUGUGUUAUAUAACCAGAGGUGACUCCAGCUCUGCGUGUGUUACAUCCAGAGGGUGACUCCAGCUCUGCGUGUGUGUUACAACCAGAGGGUGACUCCAGUUCCGCGUGUGUUAUAACCAGAGGGUGACUCCAGUUCGCGUGUGUUAUAACCAGAGGGUGACUCCAGUUCCGCGUGUGUUAUAACCAGAGGGUGACUCCAGUUCCGCGUGUGUUAUAACCAGAGGGUGACUCCAGUUCCACGUGUGUUACCAGCAGAGGUGACUCCCAGCUCGGCGUGGUGUGUUAUAACCAGAGGGUGACUCCAGUUCCGCGUGUGUUAUAACCAGAGGGUGACUGCACCGCUAUUUGCUGCUUGGCGUGAAUGCUUUUACCAGUGCUCACUUGUAUCCUUUUCCAUGUAAGUCAGAUGACCCAGAUUCUCUAAAUUUAGCUCCCCCUUAAUCAAGAUACAUUUGCUGUGCUCCUUCCCACUACUUUCAGCCAUCGAUUCUGGACCUUCAGUUACUCACACACCAGCACUAGCUUUAAAAAUAGCUUUCUUCCGCCAGGCGCCGUGGCUCACGCCUGUAAUCCC